rnacentral:tRNA from 1 species
ACCUACUUAACUCAGCGGUUAGAGUAUUUCUUUCAUACGGCGGGAGUCAUUGGUUCAAAUCCAAUAGUAGGUA